CCGUCUCUCUGUCUCAGGGGCUCAGUUUGAUGACAACAUUCCUCGGCGCUCUGGCCAACGCAUCGUAGCGCCACCUGGUGGCCGAUCCAACAUCACCAGCCUGGGAUGAGCAGCUGGGAACAUCACUUUGUUGUGUGUGUGUUUGGCCUCACAAUAUUCUAGACUCAAGGCUAAUCUAUGUCUGCGUCACAAAUUGCAACUUAUUCCCUAUAUAGUGCACUACUUUAGACUAGAGCCCUAUUCCCUAGAUAGUGCACUACUAUAGACUAGAGCCCUAUUCCCUAUAUAGUGCACUACUUUAGACCAGAGCCCUAUUCCCUAGAUAUUGCACUACUUUAGACUAGAGCCCUAUUCCCUAUAUAGUGCACUACUUUAGACCAGAGCCCUAUUCCCUAGAUGGUGCACUACUAUAGACUAGAGCCCUAUUCCCUAGAUAGUGCACUACUUUAGACCAGAGCCCUAUUCCCUAGAUAGUGCACUACUUUAGACUAGAGCCCUAUUCCCUAGAUAGUGCACUACUUUAGACUAGGGCCCAUAGGGUUCCUAUGGUUUCUCCAUCUUUGGGCCCAUAUAGGGGGCAUCACUGUAGGACAAACGGGUUAUUACAAUGAAAACACACACAGUGUUUGACCCCUCUAACACGCAGACGUGAACCCACUGUGAUGUCAUGAUGCGUCGUUGUCGUCUUCUCCCUGUCAGCAUGACUUUUUCUCCUCCUUCUUCUCCUUCUUCUCCUCCUUCUUCUCCUCCUCCUCCUCCUCCUGCUCCUCCUCCCCCUCCUCCUUCUCCUUCUCCUUCUCCUCCUCCUCCUCCUUCUCCUCCUCCUCCUCCUUCUUCUCCUUCUUCUCCUUCUUCUCCUCCUCCUUCUCCUUCUUCUUCUCCUUCUUCUCCUCCUCCUUCUCCUCCUCUUCCUCCUUCUCCUCCUUCUCCUCCUCCUCCGUCUUCUCCUUCUCCUCCUCCUUCUUCUUCUCCUCCUCCUUCUUCUCCUCCUCCUCCUCCUCCUUCUCCUUCUUCUCCUCCUCCUUCUCCUCCUCUUACUCCCUCUAUUGGUCAGUUGAGGAAAGGCAGUAUUUCCUGCAGCUGGUUUAUGUAUCUUUGGUAUCAGUAUGUAUUUCCCAGUGUGUCUCGUGUGGGCUGGUAACGUUUUGCUUGGACAUGUUUUUAGAUGUUAGAUUCUACUCCUGUAAAACACAUUUCUUUCACCUUGUAUUUGACAGCACAAUGAUAUGUAUAUCUCAUUAUAUUCAUGGCGAACGUUUUCUUGCAAACACAAUCAUUCCCUGUGUGCAAACUGUUACUGUUUCUGUCAAUUCACCAUCAGCAAAGCAAUAUCGUCACUCUCACCACUUGAAAAACUUGACUUGUAAAUGUAUGAAAUAAACAACUAAUAUAAUUGUGUGAUCAAACUAAAGGAACUGAUGACUGAUAAAAGUCAAGUAGCGAACAAAGAUGUGUGUAUCUGUUUAAAAACACACUUGAGGAUGAACAGCUAAUUCAGUAGAGGAAUCACAUGUUAAACUGGACAUGAUGAUGAUGCUAUUUUAGAAUGUCUGAGUCAUUCACUCCAGAGGUAGAUCUUUGUUGUGAAGAGAUGUUCAACUCUCUGCUGUAUGGAUCAUUCACUCCAGAGGUAGAUCUUUGUUGUGAAGAGAUGUUCAACUCUCUGCUGUAAAGCGCCUCAGCUCUUAUUGGUGUUUAUAAGGUUCCUGUCAUGAACGAACGCUUCACCUUCUAUUUACUUGAUGUGGAUGUUACUGGUUGUUAUACUGUGUUAUGUUACAUGUAGUGUUACACUCUGAACCACACACUGAGUCGCCUGGUUUGUGCUCUUAACUGUCAUUGUUGUCAUUGUCAAGAUAAACGUUAAAGAAAGCACAAACAGACUGUGACUCGGGCUAUAAUCUGAGAGACCGGUACAGAGCAGUCUAUAUUUGUAAGGGUUGAAUCCUAUAAUCUGAGAGUCCGGUACAGAGCAGUCUGUAUCUGUAAGGGUUGAAUCCUAUAUUCUGAGGGCCCGGUACAGAGCAGUCUGUGUCUGUAAGGGUUGAAUCCUAUAAUCUGAGGGUCCGGUACAGAGCAGUCUGUAUCUGUAAGAGUUGAAUCCUAUAAUCUGAGGGCCCGGUACAAGCAGUCUAUAUCUGUAAGAGUUGAAUCCUAUAAUCUGAGGGUCCGGUACAGAGCAGUCUGUAUCUGUAAGAGUUGAAUCCUAUAAUCUGAGGGUCCGGUACAGAGCAGUCUAUAUCUGUAAGAGUUGAAUCCUAUAAUCUGAGGGCCCGCUACAGAGCAGUCUGUAUCUGUAAGGGUUGAAUCCUAUAAUCUGAGAGACCGGUACAGAGCAGUGUGUAUCCGUAAGGGUUGAAUCCUAUAAUCUGAGGGCCCGCUACAGAGCAGUCUGUAUCUGUAAAGUUUGAAUCCUAUAAUCUGAGGGCCCACUACAGAGCAGUCUGUGUCUGUAAAGUUUGAAUCCUAUAAUCUGAGAGACCGGUACAGAGCAGUCUGUAUCUGUAAGGGUUGAAUCCUAUAAUCUGAGAGACCGGUACAGAGCAGUCUAUAUCUGUAAGAGUUGAAUCCUAUAAUCUGAGGGCCCGGUACAGAGCAGUGUGUGUCUGUAAGGGUUGAAUCCUAUAAUCUGAGAGCCUGGUGCAGAGCAGUCUGUAUCUGUAAGAGUUGAAUCCUAUAAUCUGAGGGUCCGGUACAGAGCAGUCUGUAUCUGUAAGGAUUGAAUCCUAUAAUCUGAGAGCCUGGUGCAGAGCAGUCUGUAUCUGUAAGGGUUGAAUCCUAUAAUCUGAGGGUCCGGUACAGAGCAGUGUGUGUCUGUAAGGGUUGAAUCCUAUAAUCUGAGGGCCCGCUACAGAGCAGUCUGUAUCUGUAAGGGUUGAAUCCUAUAAUCUGAGAGACCGGUACAGAGCAGUCUAUAUCUGUAAGGGUUGAAUCCUAUAAUCUGAGAGACCGGUACAGAGCAGUCUAUAUCUGUAAGGGUUGAAUCCUAUAAUCUGAGAGACCGGUACAGAGCAGUCUAUAUCUGUAAGAGUUGAAUCCUAUAAUCUGAGGGCCCGGUACAGAGCAGUGUGUGUCUGUAAGGGUUGAAUCCUAUAAUCUGAGGGCCCGCUACAGAGCAGUGUGUGUCUGUAAGGGUUGAAUCCUAUAAUCUGAGGGUCCGGUACAGAGCAGUGUAUGUCUGUAAGGGUUGAAUCCUAUAAUCUGAGAGCCUGGUGCAGAGCAGUCUGUAUCUGUAAGGGUUGAAUCCUAUAAUCUGAGAGCCUGGUGCAGAGCAGUCUGUAUCUGUAAGGGUUGAAUCCUAUAAUCUGAGGGUCCGGUACAGAGCAGUGUGUAUCUAUAAGGGUUGAAUCCUAUAAUCUGAGGGUCCGGUACAGAGCAGUGUGUAUCUAGGUUUGAAUCCUAUAAUCUGAGGGCCCGCUACAGAGCAGUGUGUAUCUAGGUUUGAAUCCUAUAAUCUGAGGGUCCGGUACAGAGCAGUGUGUAUCUAUAAGGGUUGAAUCCUAUAAUCUGAGGGUCCGGUACAGAGCAGUGUGUAUCUAUAAGGGUUGAAUCCUAUAAUCUGAGGGCCCGCUACAGAGCAGUGUGUAUCUAGGUUUGAAUCCCGGGCGGUCUCUGUUCUGUUGUCAAAUGUCGCUAAUAUAAUCACAUCAUCAAUAUUCACCGAAAUAAAAAAACAAAAAUCACA